UGCUAGCUUGCUAGAACUUAGAGACAGGUGCUGCACGGCUGUCGUCAGCUCGUGUCGUGAGAUGUUGGGUUAAGUCCCGCAACGAGCGCAACCCACGUAUUUAGUUGCUAACGGUUCGGCCGAGCACUCUAAAUAGACUGCCUUCGUAAGGAGGAGGAAGGUGUGGAUGACGUCAAGUCAUCAUGGCCCUUAUGCCCAGGGCGACACACGUGCUACAAUGGCAUAUACAAUGAGACGCAAUACCGCGAGGUGGAGCAAAUCUAUAAAAUAUGUCCCAGUUCGGAUUGUUCUCUGCAACUCGAGAGCAUGAAGCCGGAAUCGCUAGUAAUCGUAGAUCAGCCAUGCUACGGUGAAUACGUUCCCGGGUCUUGUACUCACCGCCCGUCACACCAUGGGAGUUGAUUUCACUCGAAGCCGGAAUACUAAACUAGUUACCGUCCACAGUGGAAUCAGCGACUGGGGUGAAGUCGUAACAAGGUAACCGUAGGAGAACCUGCGGUUGGAUCACCUCCUUU
rnacentral:rRNA from 1 species